rnacentral:rRNA from 1 species
AUUGAACGCUGGCGGCAGGCCUAACACAUGCAAGUCGAGCGGAUGAAGGGAGCUUUCUCCUGGAUUCAGCGGCGGACGGGUGAGUAAUGCCUAGGAAUCUGCCUGGUAGUGGGGGAUAACGUCCGGAAACGGGCGCUAAUACCGCAUACGUCCUGAGGUAGAAAGUGGGGGAUCUUCGGACCUCACGCUAUCAGAUGAGCCUAGGUCGGAUUAGCUAGUUGGUGGGGUAAAGGCCUACCAAGGCGACGAUCCGUAACUGGUCUGAGAGGAUGAUCAGACACACUGAAUCAGAGACGCGCUCCAGACUCCUGCGAGGGGCAGGAGUGGAGACUAUUGGACUGUGCGCGAACGUCUCAUAGCGCCAUGCCGCGUGUGAAGAAGGUCUUCGGAUUGUAAAGCACUUUAAGUUGGGAGGAACAGCAGUAAGUUAAUCCCUUGCUGUUUUGACGUUACCAACAGAGUAAGCACCGGCUAACUUCGUG